rnacentral:RNase_P_RNA from 1 species
CAGGAUGAUCGGGUAAUCGCUCACCUUCGCCAAGGCUUCGGUGAGCAGGCCCCUAUCCAAAGUAAUUCUUGGGCGGGGCUUGCCCUCCGAAGCUUUACGCGAAGGAGAGAGGAAAGUCCGAACACCAACGAGCACCGUGCUUCCUAACAGGAAGAUCCGGGAAACCGGUUAGCCAGUGCCACAGAAAACAAACCGUCCGCCAGCUGGGGGAUAAGGGUGAAAAGGUGGGGUAAGAGCCCACCGCUUUGGUGGCGACAUCAAAGGCAGGGCAAACCUCACGGGGUGAAAGCUCAUGCAGGUCGUGCGCUGCUCGUCGCUAUACGACCGGGUGGAGUGCUUGAGCCCUGAAGCAAUUCAGGGACCAGAUAAAUGAUUACCCUCGACAAGAUUCGGCUUACAGAUCAUCCGCUUGA